rnacentral:lncRNA from 1 species
AAAUAUUAAAGUGAAUCAUACAUAAUGAAGCCUGCAGGACACCAGCUGACAGUGGAAGGACUGAGGAAGGUUGUAUAAUUUUGUGCAAGGUCCACCACAAAUCCAGCUGAAGAACUGCUCCAAAGUUUAGGUCAUGGCAAGAACAAGACUGGAUCACUCCAUGUCAGUGGAAACAUGUCCACCAACUUCAUCAUUGUCUGUUGUCAUGGUUCACUUUAGAUGUAAACUUGACUGGAUUAAGGAUUCCCUAAAGUGUCAGGCCUCUGAGCCCAAGCUAAGCCAUCAUAUCCCCUGUGACCUGCAUGUACACAUCCAGAUGGCCGGUUCCUGCCUUAACUGACGACAUUCCACCACAAAAGAAGUGAAAAUGGCCUGUUCCUGCCUUAACUGAUGACAUUAUCUUGUGAAAUUCCUUCUCCUGGCUCAUCCUGGCUCCAAAGCUCCCCCACUGAGCACCUUGUGACCCCCACUCCUGCCCACCAGAGAACAACCCCCUUUGACUGUAAUUUUCCUUUACCUUCCCAAAUCUUAUAAAAUGGCCCCACCCCAUCUCCCUUUGCUGACUUUCUUUUCAGACUCAGCCCUCCUGCAACCAGUUGAUUAAAAGCUUUAUUGCUCAC